GGGGAUCAGGGUUCGAUUCCGGAGAGGGAGCCUGAGAAACGGCUACCACAUCCAAGGAAGGCAGCAGGCGCGCAAAUUACCCACUCCCGGCACGGGGAGGUAGUGACGAAAAAUAACGAUACGGGACUCAUCCGAGGCCCCGUAAUCGGAAUGAGUAUACUCUAAAUCCUUAUACGAGUAUCCAUUGGAGGGCAAGUCUGGUGCCAGCAGCCGCGGUAAUUCCAGCUCCAAUAGCGUAUAUUAAAGUUGUUGCGGUUAAAAAGCUCGUAGUUGGAUCUGUGUCCCGCACCGCCGGUUCACCGCCUGUCGGUGUCAAACUGGCGUGUAUGCGGGACGUCCUGUCGGUGGUGGUCUGGGGCUACGUUAGCCCUAAGGGUUGUCCAUGCGGCACCUUGAAGGCUGGCGUAUGUUUCCGGCCGCCUUUUCAAUCCCGCCGCGGUGCUCUUUACCGAGUGUCGAGGCGGGCCGGCACGUUUACUUUGAACAAAUUAGAGUGCUUCAAGCAGGCUCUUUUCUGCCUGCAUACUGUGUGCAUGGAAUAAUGGAAUAGGACCUCGGUUCUAUUUUGUUGGUUUUCGGAAUCUGAGGUAAUGAUCAAUGGGGACAGGCGGGGGCAUUCGUAUUGCGACGUUAGAGGUGAAAUUCUUGGAUCGUCGCAAGACGGACCGAAGCGAAAGCAUUUGCCAAGUAUGUUCUCGUCGAUCAAGAACGAAAGUUAGAGGUUCGAAGGCGAUCAGAUACCGCCCUAGUUCUAACCAUAAACUAUGCCUGCCAGCGAUCCGCCGGCGUUCCUCCGAUGACCCGGCGGGCAGCUUCCGGGAAACCAGAGCCUUUGGGUUCCGGGGGAAGUAUGGUUGCAAAGCUGAAACUUAAAGGAAUUGACGGAAGGGCACCACCAGGAGUGGAGCCUGCGGCUUAAUUUGACUCAACACGGGAAAACUCACCAGGCCCGGACACCGGAAGGAUUGACAGAUUGAGAGCUCUUUCUUGAUUCGGUGGGUGGUGGUGCAUGGCCGUUCUUAGUUGGUGGAGCGAUUUGUCUGGUUAAUUCCGAUAACGAACGAGACUCUAGCCUACUAACUAGACGUAUCUGGUAUCCACAAUCGUGCUACCGGCGAACAAAUUUCUUCUUAGAGGGACAGGCGGCUGUAGCCGCACGAGACUGAGCAAUAACAGGUCUGUGAUGCCCUUAGAUGUCCUGGGCCGCACGCGCGCUACACUGAAGGAGUCAGCGUGUCUUCCCUGUCCGAAAGGACCGGGUAACCCGCUGAACCUCCUUCGUGCUAGGGAUUGGGGCUUGCAAUUGUUCCCCAUGAACGAGGAAUUCCCAGUAAGCGCGAGUCAUAAGCUCGCGUUGAUUACGUCCCUGCCCUUGUACACACCGCC
rnacentral:rRNA from 1 species